UUUCCGUAGGUGAACCUGCGGAAGGAUCAUUAAUGAGUUGUCAUGGGGUUCGAUGCUGGCAGCCAGUUUUUGGAUGCAUGUGCUUGCCCUAACAAUCAUCUUCUUCCAAACACCUGUGCACAUUUUUAAGGGAGUCUUGAGUUGGUUGCCGCUCUUGGGUGAUUUUCUCACAUUCCCUUAAAUCAUUAUACGCUAUUAACAAUGUUGAACGUGCUCUGUGCCGCAAGGCCAUUAAUAUAAUACAACUUUUAACAACGGAUCUCUUGGCUCUC
rnacentral:misc_RNA from 1 species